GUGACUGACUUUUACGUUAUAAUGAUCACACACUAGGAAUGUUAUAAAGCGCCUAUAUAGGACAGUUUCUUUUGUAUAUUAUCUGACUUUAUAAACUCCCAACAACAAUGUGCUUAUAUAUUUUUUUCAGGCUAAAUCUACCCAAGACACUGGCUGUCAGACUGAUUUAGCUGCAAGAAUGCACUUGUCCAGGCUGAUGUGAAGCUUUACCGGCGUAGCAAAGCCAGCCAGAAUGGAGUUCACAGCCGCAGUGUUUCUGGUGACCCACGGGGACCAUGAUGAAAAUUCAUCUUCCAGAAGGUCCCAGAGCAGCGGCCACACCCCCUGAAAAGACCAAGAUGUGAGGUGUCUGCUGUUGAUUCCAGCUUCCACCUCAGUGACAGUGCAAGCUCAGUGAACUGUUCAAGCCUGGCUGAUCACCUGAUAACUCCUGUCAUCUGGUUAUGACAGCAUGAGGAUGUCCUCACACACCUGUAACCUAUCAGCUCAUCUGGCAGAAUAGAGAGAGAAGAGACAACACCACUUCUCCUUUUCCUGGAAAGCCUUCAGUCAUCCUUUGAUGACUGAGAACCUCCAUCAGCUCUGUCUCCUGUCUGCCUACUAUUAUAAUAAAUAUUGGGUUUGACAAGUUUUUUGUGCUGCCAAAUAUCUCAUAGAUUCCAGUUUUGAUAUUUUAAUGGAUAUUUAUAAAUUACAUUAAUUGAAUUAUCACAAUGCAUGUUUAACUUGCUCUAUUGUGAUGAAUUAAACUAGCACCUCACUGUUAAAAGCUCGUUUUAAUUUCAAGCAUGUUUAAGUAUUUAUGGACAUGAACAAAAACAGGAAAUAUAUAAUAUAUAAAAUGAGAUUUAUUUAAUUAAUAUAACA